rnacentral:rRNA from 1 species
UACAGGGGGGGCAAGCGUUGUUCGGAAUUACUGGGCGUAAAGGGUCUGUAGGUGGCCAACUAAGUCAGACGUGAAAUCCCUCGGCUUAACCGGGGAACUGCGUCUGAUACUGGAUGGCUUGAGAUUGGGAGAGGGAUGCGGAAUUCCAGGUGUAGCGGUGAAAUGCGUAGAUAUCUGGAGGAACACCGGUGGCGAAGGCGGCAUCCUGGACCGGCAUUGACGCUGAGGCGCGAAAGCCAGGGGAGCAAACGGG